rnacentral:rRNA from 1 species
CGCCAAAUUUGGAUGAUCUAAGCCAUGCGAGUCAUUGUAGUAAUACAAGGCAGACGGCUCAGUAACGCGUCCUUUAAAAACCUAUGGACGGGAAUAACCUCGGGAAACUGACUUAAUGAAGGAUAGAAUAUUAUGGGUGGAAUGGUUUGUGUUCAAAAUGAUUUAGUUGGGUAGGAUGGGAGUGCUCCCUAUCAGUUUGUUGGUGAGGUAAUGGCCCACCAAGACUAUUACAGGUACGGGCUCUGAGAGGAGUGGCCCGGAGAUGGGUACUGAGACACGGACCCAGGCCCUAUGGGGCGCAGCAGGCGAGAAAACUUUGCAAUGUGCGAAAGCACGACAAGGUUAAUCCGAGUGGUUUCUGCUAAAGGAACCUUUUGUCGGUCCUAGAAACACCGAUGAAUAAGGGUUGUUUAAUUCUUGUGGCAGCCCCCCCGGAAAAACCGGCCCCCCAAGGGGUCAGAAUGAUUUUUGGGCCUAAAGCAUCCGUAAGCCGGAUUUGUUUAGUUUUGGGUUAAAUCUGGCCCCUCAACGUACAGGGUGGCCGGAAUACUGGCAAACUAGGGGGGGGGGAAAAAGAGACCGUACUCCGGAGGAAAGGGAAAAAUUUUUUGAUUUAUUUGUGACCCCCUGGGGGGGAAAGGGGGUCUUACCAAAAAACUUUCCAAAGUGGGGGAAUGGAAGGUGGGGGAAACCAAACCGGAUUAAAAUCCCGGGUAGUCCCCAGCUGUAAACUAAGCCAACUCCAUGAAUGAUUUGGGUUGGGGGCCAUGGAAUGGUUGAGGGAAACCCUUAAAUUUGCCCGCUGGGGAAUUACCUUCGCCAGUAUUAAACUCAAAUGAAUUGACGGA